rnacentral:rRNA from 1 species
AGCGAACGCUGGCGGCAGGCCUAACACAUGCAAGUCGAACGGACCCUUCGGGGUUAGUGGCGGACGGGUGAGUAACACGUGGGAACGUGCCUUUAGGUUCGGAAUAGCUCCUGGAAACGGGUGGUAAUGCCGAAUGUGCCCUUCGGGGGAAAGAUUUAUCGCCUUUAGAGCGGCCCGCGUCUGAUUAGCUAGUUGGUGAGGUAAAGGCUCACCAAGGCGACGAUCAGUAGCUGGUCUGAGAGGAUGACCAGCCACAUUGGGACUGAGACACGGCCCAAACUCCUACGGGAGGCAGCAGUGGGGAAUCUUGCGCAAUGGGCGAAAGCCUGACGCAGCCAUGCCGCGUGAGUGAUGAAGGUCUUAGGAUUGUAAAAUUCUUUCACCGGGGACGAUAAUGACGGUACCCGGAGAAGAAGCCCCGGCUAACUUCGUGCCAGCAGCCGCCGUAAAAC